GCGGAUGUAGCUCAGUUGGUAGAGCAUCAGCUUCCCAAGCUGGGGGUCGCGGGUUCGAGUCCCGUCAUCCGCUCCA
rnacentral:tRNA from 1 species